GAUGGACGAAUAGGGAUCCUCUGCCUCUGCCAAUGGCCUAAUAGGGCUCCUAAUUUUCUACUCUUCCUCUGUCGGACAAGGUUUUUCUCUCUGAACCUGUCGAAUUAGGGUGAUCUAAUUGAAGGCUGUGGGUUUUUUCUCCAUUUCCUCUGUCCAUUGAUGGGGUUAUGCUCAACUACUAGAUCGGGAACUGGCGCAGGCAGGUGAUCAUUACAAAAAAAAAUUGUAAUGAAUGGGCAAGGGAAAUCUGACUGGUUAAUUAAAACAAAGCAUUGUGAUGGUCCCUGCGGAUGCUAACACAAUGUGAUUUAUGCCCAGUGCUCUGCAUUUCAAAGUGAAUAAAUUCAACCAAUCAUGGGUAAACGAUGGGAGUAACUAUGACUCUCUUAAAGUAGUCAUAUGCCUUUGUUUCAUCUAAUUAGUAAUGUGCAUUAAAGGAUUAACAAGAUUCCCACUGUCCCAAGCUACUAUCUAGAGAAACCACAACCAAGGGAACGAGCUUGGCAGAAUUAGAGGGGAAAGAAGACCCUGUUGAUCUUGACUCUAGUCUGACUUUGUAAAAUGACUUGAGAGGUGUAGAAUAGUGGGAGUUGUUUUCAGUUCAAGUGAAAUACCACUACUUUUAAUGUUAUUUUACUUAUUUUGUGGGGCAGAGAAGAGGUCGCAUUGCACAUAUGCUAAAAUAUAAUGCACAUUUCCUCAAAGUGUUAUCAUUGAUUCCAAUGGUCGAAAGAUCAUUCUUCACACACUUGAUGGCAAUGAUUUUAGGAAACCAAAGAGGAUCAUUUAUUUUAAGGAUGAAGAAAAUUCCUAGAACCCC
rnacentral:ncRNA from 1 species